rnacentral:lncRNA from 1 species
UGGGGGAUUCCCAUGGUGGUGGAACUGGUUAGAACGUCAGCUCCCUCCGGCAAAUCCUCCUGAAAGUCAAGCCACCAAGAGCAUCCUACUAACACCCACAAGACCGACUCCAGAUCUCAGGCCAAGUCCUCGACCCCAAGCAAGCAACUACAGGCAACAGAGUUUCGGGUUUGACAAUCUUGAGUCACUCACACCAAAGUCCUCAAAAUCAGCAGUACCUGCAAGAGCAAAGACCCCUCCAAAUAGAGUGCCACAAGCGAACGGCUCAAAUCUAUCAAGAUAUCCAAAGCCGAGAGCUAGUGCAGCUGAUUCUACCUUUGAUGUGCCACUGAGAGAUGAUGAUAGCCUCACCAGUUGCCCGCCAUUUUCAGUUCCAAACUACAUGACU